ACGUUUACCAUCUAAUGCGACAGAGUACUAAACUGUGCAGAUAUUCAUGACGCUUAUAGGUCAAUUGAUAAAAAAAACUAGAGGCCGAUAAACGCUGCUCCCGUUCAUAUUAAUAACAUGUUUACUCUGUAUUUUUAGAGCGUGUUAACUUCAUUAGGAACCGCACGGCUUCGACGAGAGGUCCCUGCAAAACAAAGUGAGAAGUGGAAUAUUCAAACGACAUUAUACGGAGCGAAAUUGCUUUGCAACUUUCCAAAUUAAAAUCUGUGAGCAAACAAGAACGGUCCAGUAAUUUUAAUAGGCUGUGGAUUUUUUUAUUUAUACCCUUUGGCUAUAAAAGCUUCGGUGGUUUUUCGCGGACUUCAUUAAAGCCUAAACCCUUUCGUCAGAACGUCAGAAUAUCAGAGUACAUGCACCCCGCUCUGGACCCUCGCGAGGCGGAGACGAGAAGCUGGGAGUUCCGGAACAACAUGAAGAGAUGCUGCACGAGACCCUGCAGCAUUACCGAGCUGGUCGCCGUUUGUUAAACGAAUGAGGUGAGGUACCUACUUAUAUCAAGAUUUCGAAAGUGACCGGAUCGCGGGCUAGGCGUAUGCAACACAGUUACCAUUGUACCUUCGAUUUAUUCAAUGC